GAUGAAGAACGUAGCGAAAUGCGAUAAGUAGUGUGAAUUGCAGAAUUCAGUGAAUCAUCGAAUCUUUGAACGCACAUUGCGCCUUCUAGUAUUCUGGGAGGCAUGCCUGUUUGAGCGUCAUUAAACCUCUCUCAAGUAUGAUUACUUGGAUGUGAAGGAAGAGUACCUUAAACUUAAGGAGUGUUCUCCUUUGAAAUUGAUUAGCAGAUGGUAAUGUUAUUAAAUCCCUGAUGUUGUAAGAAAUAACAGUGGUUUUGUAGACUAUUAUCUAGCUUUAAAUUAUAAUUUUUAUUAUGGUUGACCUCAAAUCAGGUAAGGAUACCCGCUGAACUUAAGCAUAUCAAUAAGCGGGA
rnacentral:misc_RNA from 1 species